GCUGGGCAUGGUGGCACAUGACUGUAAUCCCAGCUACUCGGGAGGCUGAGGCAGGAGAAUUGCUUGAACCUAGGAGGCUGAGGUUGCAGUGAGCUGAGAUCAUGCCACUGCACUCCAGCCUGGGUGACAGAGUGAGACCCUGUCUCGAU
rfam:Pan troglodytes isolate Yerkes chimp pedigree #C0471 (Clint) chromosome 4, whole genome shotgun sequence.